CCACCUGGAAGACGUUGCUCUUGUGGCCGCUGUCGAACUGCAGCACGGGCCGGCGCCGCAGCCAGUCCCACACCAGCACCUUGAGGUCGUCGCUGCCGCUGGCCAGGCGGGUGCCGCGCUGGUUGAAGUGCAGCGUGUUGACGCAGCCCGUGUGCCCCUCCAGGCCGUGCUGCAGCCGCAACUUCUGCACGAAGAGCCGGGCGCCGCAGGCCUGCGCCACGAAGCGCGGGCAGCCGCCCAGCUGGCGCUGCCGCAGCGCCGGGAUCGCCCGCCAGCGCGGCCGCGGCAGCGCCCACGUCUCCGAGGCCACCUGCGGGGACAGCGGCUGUUGGCACCGGGAGCGCCCCGCCGCCGCCACACGGGGUGGGCAGGGGUCUGUCACACGGCGGGCAGGGGUCUGUCACACGGACAGGGGUCUGUCACACGGAUAGGACUGUCACACGGACAGGGGUCUGUCACAAGGCGGGCAGGGGUCUGUCACACGGCGGGCAGGGGUCUGUCACAUGGUGGGCAGGGGUUUGUCACACGGCGGGCAGGGGUUUGUCACACGGCGGGCAGGGGUCUGUCACACGGCGGGCAGGGGUUUGUCACACGGCGGGCAGGGGUUUGUCACACGGCGGGCAGGGGUCUGUCACACGGCGGGCAGGGGUUUGUCACACGGCGGGCAGGGGUCUGUCACACGGCGGGCAGGGGUUUGUCACAUGGCGGGCAGGGGUUUGUCACACGGAUAGGACUGUCACUGGACAGGGCUCUGUCACCUGUUACAGGUGAUGGACAGGGCUCUGUCACCUGGACAGGGGUCUGUCACACAGAUAGGACUGUCACCCGGACAGGGGUCUGUCACUGGACAGGACUGUCACCCGGACAGGGGUCUGUCACUGGACAGGACUGUCACACGGACAGGGGUCUGUCACCUGCUACAGGUAAUGGACAGGGGUCUGUCACACAGACAGGGGUCUGUCACUGGACAGGACUGUCACAUGGACAGGGCUCUGUCACACGGACAGGGGUCUGUCACUGGACAGGACUGUCACUGGACAGGGGUCUGUCACCUGGGCAGGGGUCUGUCAUAUAGGCAGGACUGUCACACGGACAGGAGUCUGUCACCUGCUACAGGUAAUGGACAGGGGUCUGUCACCUGUUACAAGUGAUGGACAGGGGUCCGUCACACCGACAGGGGUCUGUCACCUGCUACAGGUAAUGGACAGGGCUCUGUCACCUGGACAGGGGUCUGUCACUGGACAGGGGUCUGUCACACAGAUAGGACUGUCACACGGACAGGGGUCUGUCACCUGGGCAGGGGUCUGUCACUGGACAGGGGUCUGUCACACGGGCAGGGGUCUGUCACACGGGCAGGGGUCUGUCACACAGAUAGGACUGUCACACGGACAGGGCUCUGUCACAUGGACAGGGGUCUGUCACAUGGACAGGACUGUCACAUGGACAGGGGCCUGUCACCUGGACAGGGUCUGUAACCUGGGCAGGGGUCUGUCACCUGCUACAGGUAAUGGACAGGGGUCUGUCCAUGGACAGGGCUCUGUCACACAGAUAGGACUGUCACACGGGCAGGGGUCUGUCACUGGGCAGGACUGUCACACAGACAGGGGUCUGUCACCUGGGCAGGGGUCUGUCACACAGACAGGGGUCUGUC
rnacentral:lncRNA from 1 species